UGCAGUAUAUUUUCUUAAAAUGAACGCUGGCUUUCCUUGUUGGGCUUCUAACUGGCACAAUUGCCACGUUCAUCAAUCUUGCAGUCGAGAAUAUUGUAGGGUACGAGCAUCUCUCCGUGGUUCGCUACAUAGAAGAAGAAAGAAAUCAAAGCUUAUCUCAAUGGGGUAGACACUCCAAACAUGUUCGGUGCUACAACAUUGAUUGUCAAGGUUUUAAGGUUUAUAUCAAUCAUGACAAAGUUGAUACUUGUGAAAGUUCACAAUGUGAAGUGAGUUCAAGCACAGGGCAUGCUUUGGAAUCACAAAGUAUUGUCAUGCCUGGCUGAGAAAUGUGGCAUGAUUUCUGAAUUAUUGAUUGGAAAUUGGACUAUUGGUUAUAGGUGAGGAUUGAAAUUUUUUUGGUGCAGUCUUGCAGCAAUCCCGAUUGUCUGUAUUUGCAUGAGAUUGGCACACAAGAAGAUAGUUUCACUAAAGAUGGAAUAAUAUCAGCAUACACAAGAAAUUCACUAUACCUCAGAAAUUCUUCAGUCAUUUUUAUGUGUUGGCUGUGGUGUGGACAACAUUGUUGCUGGUCACAACUUGGUUUUAUGCAUAUAAAGAGGCACCAUUGGCCUCUGGGCCUUUACAAUACUCCACUAUUGUCAGCUACUUAACUGGGGGUUCGGAUAUCCUUUCUUUUCAUAAUCUCAUUCUCAUUUGCGCACUGUAAAAUAUAGAUACAGGGUUUGGCAAUCUGUAUUUCUGCUCUUGUUGAUGGAAGUUCAAGCAUUGAGACGCCUUUGUGAGACAAUAUAUGUAUUCAAGUACAGUCCCUCAGCUCGGAUGCACAUUUUUGGCUACCUUACUGGCCUAUUGGAACCAAAAAUCAAUCCCAUACUGACCAAGCUUUGUUGUGUGACCACAUAUCGUUCAUUGAGAUAUCAAAGCUAGCAAUAUUCUCCUCGAGAAAGACUUGACACCCAAAUUUCAGAUUUUGGUCUACCAAAACUUAUUCCAGCCAACAUGACUCAUGUCAGUACCCGUGUGGCAGGAACGAUGUAAGUUCUAACAAUAAUGCAUCCAUUUUUUUAAUCCAUGUAAUCAUAAGAGUUCAUCUUCAUUACAUUGUAACAAUAGUGCAAAUAUGGACUUUACACUUUCUUAGGAAUGUCUGUGUCUGUGAGUUGAAUUUGAUAUGGAGGGAAACAAACUUUUAUGCUUAUACAUGAUGCUCCCAAGACUCUUCUAACGUUAUUGGAUAGGUGUUGGGUGUUUGAGAAGGGUGCAUUUGUGAUCUUGCUUUCUUUUGUUUUGGCUUCAGCCAUCGUUUGGGGAAAAGGAACCUUAUACAAAAGACAAUGUGAUAUAAAUUUCCAAGUUCGUGAUUAACUUCUUAGAACUGCAGAUUUCCCGCUCAUUACCAUUUAUGCCACACUUUCAUCAUUUGCAUCAUUGUUUGGGAUUAUUUUCUUCGCCUUCUUUAUUUAUUUAUCCCUUUUCUAUUUUAGAUAUAUUGAACAGUGUAAACAUGUGCCCUGGUAUUUCGCAGCUGUUUUUCUGUUUUUUAUGUGUUUGAUGCAGCUACUGGUACCUUUAAUUCUGCUGCUGCUGGUCUGUUGCUGGUCUGCUGCUGCUACUGGUCUGCUGGUCUUCUGUUGCUGCUGCCGGUGUGCUGCUGCAGAAUUUUGUUGGGAUGCUGCUGCUGCAAUGCUGCUGUGAAGCGGGCUGCUGCUAGAUGCUGGUCUGUUGCAAAUUUGGGUUGUUAGUUUCAUGUUUCAUUUUGUUAUCUGCUGUUUUUACUAUGGGUUCACAAUUUGGAUGUGUUUGAGUAUUUUAGUGAGUUUACCCUUUUAGGUUUUAUAUAACGCUUCCAAAAGCAUAUUUUUCAAUAGUGUUUUUUUGCCUACACAUCAACUUUAGGUGAUUUAAUAUCAAUGUUAUUUGUUUGUAAUAGUAGGGCCUGAGGGAUGCCUCUUGUAAAUAUGUAAAUCUUAUAAAAAUAUAUAUAUGAUUUUCAAUUUUUUUUGC